ensembl:lncRNA
UUCAUUUCGGUAUCGAGGACCAGGUAGUCGUUAACUUCCAAAAAUUUCUCCACAGGCUGCAGCCCUGGGCAGCCCAUUUGAGCAUCUCCAGAAGUCCCUUCCCACCUCCUCAAGGCCAUGAUUUGCCCCGGGAGGGGAUGAUGGGAGGGCUGUGUGCCAUGGGUAGUAUUGCUCAGGAGCAGCAGUGGGGUGACUGUACCGCCACCCCCAUCCAUGUGCCACACAGCCACCCCCUCGAGGGCCUUCUGUGUCCCCAGGCUGGUUAUGCUGCCCCAGCAGUUGUUGGUCAGGGGUCAGUGCUGUGUGUCCCUUCUUGUCACGGUGUGCUACCAGCCCCUGCCGCUGGCAGUGCUGUGGGACUGGCGCCAGGACCGGCUCCUUACUGCUUGCCAUUGUCCAGAGUAGUCACGGCCUCCCUACUGAAAUUGGGCUCCUCUCCCAGAAUAAGCUGCGAUUUGCUGGUUGUGGAUCAGAGCUUGACCCCCUUCCCAGCCCAUUCUUCACUGCUCCCAUGGCUCUCGGCCCCAGGUGCUGCGGGACCUGUGCUGAGAACGGCCCCUCCUGGAGAAACUGCUGCAGCUUGGAACUGGGCCCUGAGGGUGCCUUCUCCUGCUCCUGCACCUGCCUCUGCUCCUCCACCUCCGCCUCACGGAGGAGUCACAGGCCACAGUGCUUGGGUGACCCAUGGGGACUUCCCAACCUUGCCUGGGAGACCUGCUCUGGUGGCUGUCCCAGGCACGGGGAUGCUCCCCGUCCUCCCUCCACCGCUGUUGUCUGCAGGGGCCCCAUGGGUGCGCCCAGUGAACAUGGCGCUCAGUGCUAUGGGGCUGGCCCCUGCUUCUGGAGGAGUUGUAGCCCUGGGCAUGCUGGUCCUGUCUGUGGCCAUGCUGGUGCCACUUCUGAUACCUACUUUGGCUCCUCUCGGGGGCCCCAGCAUGGUCAUUACCACUGUGUCUGCCAUAAGAGCCACGUCGCCACCACCACCUCCUCCUCCCCCUCCUCCUCCUCCUCCUUUGUGUAGAGGGAUGGCGAGAUCUCUGUGGAAUGCCACUGGGUGUGAUGUCGUGCACCUCAUGGCUCAGCUGGGGGAAGAUGUGGCGCAAGACAUGGCCGCAGUUGGGGCAGAUGGUUUGACUGUGGCUCCAUUUCUGUAUGCAAGACAAACAGAAGCAGUGCCUGCAGAAGCUCUCACAGGCCUGCUGGCCUGUGCUCACUGGGAAGAAAAAGUCAUUUGCGUCCUCGGGGACAACAAGUUGUACCUGGCUGGUAUUUGCAGCAGGGGACGAGGUGCCCGGUUCUGCCAAGUCGUCCUCCUCCUUCAGUGCCAUCUUGCCCUGCAAAAAAGAGCGACACAAAGCUCGUGACCUCCAGGCAGCAGAACAGGCGCCUGCUCUGCCUGGGGGCUGUGCUGGUGGUGCCACCAAUGCCAGGACUGUCCCGGGGCAGAUGAGUGACACCAAGGGCAUCUCUGUGUGCUCCUGCUCUGCGGGCAGGGCAGUGACCUCUCCACCAUGAUCAGGCAGGAGCUGGGGAGGCAGGAAAGCAGUUCAUGGCCUCGCCAUGAUGGCAGCAUGAGGGUGGGGGUGCGGCAGGUUGGGACUGACGUCCCCCUCCGACAGACCCUCUGUGGACCCUUGGCAGCAAGUGUGUUGGUUUAGGCCCUGCCAGGACCGGAGACCAUGUUGCCGUUGUCCCUCCCCCACCCUCGGACACAAGUAGGGCACAAACCCCGGGUUAAAAUAAGAAUACAACAGUUUAAUAAACAAUCUGAACA